rnacentral:tRNA from 1 species
GCCGGGGUGGCGGAAUGGUAGACGCCGCGGACUUAAAAUCCGCUGUCCGCAAGGACGUGUGGGUUCGAAUCCCGCCCCCGGCACCA